UACGUAGGGGGCAAGCGUUGUCCGGAUUUAUUGGGCGUAAAGAGCGUGUAGGCGGCCAGAUAGGUCCGUUGUGAAAACUGGAGGCUUAACCUCCAGCUGUCGAUGGAAACCAUCUGGCUAGAGUCCGGAAGAGGAGAGUGGAAUUCCUGGUGUAGCGGUGAAAUGCGCAGAUAUCAGGAAGAACACCUGUGGCGAAGGCGGCUCUCUGGGACGGUACUGACGCUGAGACGCGAAAGCGUGGGGAGCGAACAGG
rnacentral:rRNA from 1 species